GCCUGAACUCACAGUGGCAACCAGCUUGGGUCUGCUCCCACGCUGUUGGGGCGGGGGCGGGGGGGGGGUUGUUCUUUUGCUCCUUGGGUCCACACUGCGUUUAUGAGCUGUAAUAUUCACCGCAAAGGUCUGCAGCUUCACUACUAAGCCAACGAGACCACAAACCCACCAGGAGGAACGACAAUUCCAGACGCGUGGCUUUAACAGCUGUUAACACUCACCGCGAAGGUCUGUAGCUUCAUUUCUGAGUCAGCGAGACCACGAACCCACCAGAAAGAAGAAACUCCGAACACACCCGAACCUCAGAAGGAACAAAUUCCGGACACGCCGCCUUUAAGAACUGUAACACUCACCACAAGGGUCCGCGGCUUCAUUCUUGAAGUCAGUGAGACCAAGAACCCACUAAUUCCGGACACACUUUGACCAGCAGAGCAGGCAGAAGUAAAGCCACGGUUCACAGAAGUGACCUGGGAGAAGCAGCAGCCCCGGGAGAGGCUUAACUAGCAGAGCACUGAGGCCCACCGACAGCCAUGUGCAUGAGCUUGGAAGCACAUCUCCCCAACCCACCCCAGUCAAGCCUGCAGAUGAGACCUCAGCUGCAGCUGACAACUCGGCUACAACUUUGUGAGAGACCUGGAGCCAAAAGCACCUAGCUAAGCUGUGCCUGUAUUUCUGACCCACAGAAACUCUGAGAUUGUUCCAGCUUUUGCCAGUGGAAGCCCCUCCAAGAUGGAGAAGCUCUACUUUAAAUUCCAGGCCCCUAAGGAAAGCCUCUGGAUCUCCAGGCCUGCCCCCUAUCUCUACAGCCCAGAGGAGGUGACAUUAACCAGUGCAUCUGAGUGGUGCAGAGGAAAACUGACUUUGAUGUCCAUAUAAACCCAGUGCCCAGGUCAUGUCUGUUCUCCACUGGCAAUGGGCUGAGCAGAGCCAAGUUCUCAGUUAACUUCCCCAGCCCUCCCUCCUGCCUAACUCCAUUCCCACCCCCGACUUGAACUUCCUAAAGGCAGUGAGUGAGAUUAAAGGCUUGAUCAAUGAAAACUAUUAUUAUUGUUUACUCCUGAGCCUUCUGAUGUUAUUGCAUUGCAAGAAAGCUGUCUGGGCCUCCACCAGGAAUAAUAACACAACCUUUCUUCCAGUUUGGGA
rnacentral:lncRNA from 1 species